ACCCAACGGACAGCCGAAAUGGCUCCUUUCUCUCAUCCCAGGUUAUCCUUUGCUCAAUUUCAUGCUUACAACAGCUAUUUAUGUCCUAGUAUCCUACCGGUUCUAUGAUCUAACAAAUUACCUAAAGACAAUCUUUGUGCCCAGUAAAGACAACAACCGCCUUUUACACAAUUUCAUUGCUGGAGCUGCUAUUUCCCUGUGCUUGUAUUGUAUUUCAUUGUUUCUUCUUCAGAUUCCUCAAACUGUCACCUGACAGAUUGAGACACUGACCUUCACGAAAAGAUUUCUUGCUGGGAACCCAAGAAUUCGGAUUCCAGCUAAUAAGCAAGGGUUGGAGCUGAAGGUUUGGUUUGAGAAUCUGGCAUUGGUAAGCCAAUGUUUCCAUUUUCUUCCUCUUUCAGAAGUAUCUUAUGCUCUUGAAAGGCACCUUUGUAAUGGGGAUCUGUUCAGAGAUGAAUAGCAGUUUUAGGCUCAAAGGAGACUGGGAAGGAGGAAGCCUUUUUCUUUUUCUUUUUCUAUUUUCUUUUACUUUUUCUUUAUUGUAGUCUUGGCGAUGGCCAUUUAUCGGUGUUUUUGUUUUUACUCCUGUGAGAAGCUGAAAGAAAUAGGCACUGAAGUUGGUAAAUACAUGUGAUUUGGUUCCUAUGAAAUCCAAUAAAUUCAAAAUUCAAAAUUCAAUAUCAGUGCAUCUGGAGGAAAACACAAAUAGGACAACUUGCUAUUAAGACAAAUUCAACAGUCUUUCUCCUGUCUUUCA